UUAAGAUACUAAGAGCAUACGGUGGAUGCCUUGGCGAUAUCUGCCGACGAAGGACGUGACAAGCUGCGAAAAGCUGCGGAGAGAUGCAAAUAAUCGGCGACCCGCAGACAUCCGAAUGGAGAAAUCCGGCUGUGAUGAUGCACAGCCAUCCAUGCCCAAGAGCAUGAGAAGGGAACCGGGCGAACUGAAACAUCUAAGUAACCCGAGGAAAAGAAAUCAAACGAGAUACCCCAAGUAGCGGCGAGCGAACAGGGAAGAAGCCCAAACCGGUGAAGGAAACUUUACCGGGGUUGAGGACCAUCAGACCCGCGAAGAACCUUAGCCGAAACUGUUGGGAAACAGUGCCAAAGACAGUGAAAGCCUGGUAGGCGAAAAAGAGAAACGCGGAGAUGGCACCAGAGUACCGCGGGACACGAGAAAUCCCGUGGGAAGCAGGGGGGACCACCCUCCAAGGCAAAACACAGAUAUCGACCGAUAGCGCAUAGUACCAUGAGGGAAAGGUGAAAAGCACCCCGGGAGGGGAAUGAAAGAGAACCUGAAACCGUAUGUUUACAAGCAGUCGGAGACCGCUUAAUAAUAAGGUCGACGGCGUGCCUAUUGAAGAAUGAACCGGCGAGUUACGAAGCCUGGCAAGGUUAAGCAGGAAAUGCGGAGCCGAAGCGAAAGCGAGUCUUAAGAGGGCGCAAGUCAGGAAGCGUAGACCCGAAACCACAGUGAUCUACCCAUGUCCAGGUUGAAACACAGGUAAAAAUGUGUGGAGGACCGAACCUAUAUCCGUUGAAAAGGGUUAGGAUGAGGUGUGGGUAGGGGUGAAAUUCCAAUCGAACGUGGAGAUAGCUGGUUCUCCCCGAAAUAGCUUUAGGGCUAGCCUCAGGGAAAAGAUUGCAGGCGGUAGAGCACUGAUCAGGAGAGGGACCUACCCGGUUACCAAACCCAGUCAAACUCCGAAUGGCUGCAAUCAUACCUGGGAGUCAGACUGCGACUAAUAAGGGCCGCAGUCAAAAGGGAAACAGCCCAGACCAUCAGCUAAGGUCCCCAAUGCCGUGCUAAGUGGCGAAGGAUGUGGCAUUUCAUAAACAACCAGGAUGUUGGCUCAGAAGCAGCCACCAUUUAAAGAGUGCGUAAUAGCUCACUGGUCGAGAGACGCUGCGCCGAAAAUGUCCGGGGCUCAAGCACGGAACCGAAGCUAUGGCAUGAUAGCAAUAUCAUGGGUAGGGGAGCGUUCUUAUAAGGAAGAAGCAUGACCGGAAGGACAUGUGGACGAAUAAGAAGUGAGAAUGCCGGUAUGAGUAUCGAAAAGAAAGGUGAGAAUCCUUUCCACCGAAAGCCCGAGGGUUCCUGAGCAACGAUCGUCGACUCAGGGUAAGUCGGGACCUAAGCCGAGGCGAGAAGCGUAGGCGAUGGACAACAGGUUGAAAUUCCUGUACCGGAUCAAGUCGAUCGAGCGAAGGAGCGACGCAGGAGGGCACAUGAUCGCGCGGCUGGAAGAGCGCGUCCAAGUGCGUAUGUUGCUGCAGAGGAAAACCCCUGCAGCUGAAAGCAGAGACAUGAAGGGGAGUUAAAGGAAACUUUGACGAACUCAUGAAUCCCACACUGCCAAGAAAAACUUCUAGCGAGACAAGAUCCGCCCGUACCGUAAACCGACACAGGUAGGCGGGGAGAGAAUCCUAAGGUGCGCGGGAAAACCCUCGUUAAGGAACUCGGCAAAUUGCAUCCGUAACCUAGGGAGAAGGAUGGCCCCCGGUCAGUGAAGAGCAGAAACGCUCAGAGCUAAAAGGGGCGGCAGAAAAGAGGCCCAAGCAACUGUUUACCAAAAACACAGGUGCCUGCGAAAGCGAAAGCUGAAGUAUAGGUGCUGACGCCUGCCCGGUGCCGGAAGGUUAAGGAGAGAAGUUAGCGAAAGCGAAGCAUCGAACUGAAGCCCCGGUGAACGGCGGCCGUAACUAUAACGGUCCUAAGGUAGCGAAAUUCCUUGUCGGGUAAG
rnacentral:rRNA from 1 species